rnacentral:ncRNA from 1 species
GGUUGGCAGCCCGUCCGGGCUGUUCAAGAUUUGAGCUUGUUGGGUGGAGAGCU